rnacentral:rRNA from 1 species
GUGCACCAGUCGCGAAAACUUUACAAUGCGAGCAAUCGUGAUAAGGAAACCCUGAGUGCCUGUCAAUGCAGGCUGUUCUGGUGUCUAACACACACCAGGAGAAAGGGCGGGGCAAGACCGGUGCCAGCCGCCGCGGUAAUACCGGCUGCUCGAGUGAUAGCCACUUUUACUGGGCUUAAAGCGUUCGUAGCUUGGUCGUUAAGUCUCUGGGGAAAUCUUUUGGCUCAACCAAAAGGCGUCUCAGGGAAACUGGCGAUCUUGGGACCGGGAGAGGUAAGACGUACUUCGGGGGUAGGAGUGAAAUCUUGUAAUCCCCGAGGGACGACCGAUGGCGAAGGCAUCUUACCAGAACGGCUUCGACAGUGAGGGACGAAAGCUGGGGGAGCAAACCGGAUUAGAUACCCUAGUAGUCC